GCUUGGGCAAUUGGCUGGUUAACAGCAGCUCUCUCUCUAGCCAAUCAGAUUGAAGCACCGGGCUAGAUUCAGCUAUUAGAAGCACAGCCUUCAGUUCUUCCUACAGAGAGCAGAAAGAAGGCUGAAUGCAGGCGCAGCCAUUUUCUCCUACAUUGGGACUCAAUGGCCAAAAUGGGUUUCCUUUGUUCCUAAAGGGAUCUAAAUCUUGAUUUCAUCAGCCUUUUAUGGACUAUUUAAUACAUACAGUGUUUCUGUUUACAGGAUCUGAGAAGAAGGAAGAUGAAAUGUUGGAUGAUAUCCCUUUGACAUUUUUUUUUGUACUUUUUUCCUCUUCCUGGAAACCAUCUUUGUCCCAGCAAACUAGGUCAUGGCACACCCAUAUAACAGCAUUUUAUUCUUUAGUAAAAUGCUACUGAAUAAACAUUUUGUAUUUGAUUAUUAUAUUACUACUAACUAGACUGUAAAAAGAGAAAGAGAGAAAAAAAACAUGAAAAUUACCAACUGCUUUUAAGCCCCUGCCUUGUUUAGGGCCAAGCAUUAAUCAAUAACAAACAAAGCAGGCCAUAGAGAAAAAGGACGAUUGGCCUUUUACAAAAAUGCUGAAUCACAGGUAUGAUUGAUGGGGUUUGUGGUUGUUUUAAUGCUCAUCCUGGUUGCGCCUCAAAAAAAAAACACUACAUUACUAUUAUCAAAAAACAUUUUUAAAAGUAAGAUUAUGUUUAAAUAAAUAUGUGGAAUUCCCUUUUCUUUCAUGACGUUUCUAUUGGGAAUAAUGUAUUCCUGAUUUUACAAUGGAAUGGAAAUCCCUUUUGUCAAUUAGUAUUUUCAGCAAGUGAACACUCGCUGUAUAUCUGACCUUGCGCCAAGGGCACACUUUAAUUUCAUAACACUAUUAGUGUCAUAGUGUACAGUUCACGCUAGAGGUACUGUAUAAAUAUGACUAUUAACAUACAUAAUUAUUAAAACACUAACAGAGAUAUUUACCUUAACAUUUUGUUGAAAUAAUUCUAUCAGGCCUAAACGAUGAAGAAACAGGGACGUUUUCAUUCCCAUCUUCGGAUCCUUUAACACUGGCUUUAAAGAGGGGGUUGGGUUGCAACGCCUAAAAGGAAGAAAACGACAAUAACCAUGUUUCUGCCGUCGUUUUUCGACAUAAUUCACAAUUUAACACAGCUAUCUGCGCAGUCUCCAACGAGUAGAGCUGCUGGAAAUCUUGAGGCACUUUUAGAUAUUGUAAUAUGCAAACAAUCCCUCUCUUUCUCUUCCUGAAGACAGAAUGACGAGAGAGAUUAACUCGCCCAUUCAUCACUCAUCAUCAUUCAGAAGACAGAAAAAAAUCAUUUUUCUUUCCGAAGGUAAUAGUUCAUACGACCUUUUAUGAUAAAAACAAACAAAAAAUGAAUUGGGAAUAUUCUGUCAUUGUUUAACAGGUAAUAAUAAAAUCAUAUUUAUCUUUAAAAUUCAUUUUUAUAAAUAUAAAGUAUUGUUUUUCAUAUUGUGAUUUAUUAUAAUUGUCAAAAAAUAAACAGAUUAAGGUAAAAAACUAAGAAGAAAAAAAAACAAUCAUUGUUGUAGACACCUCUCAUUGCUGACCCAUGUCCAAUGCGACCUCAGAAAUAGCCUGCUGUUUAAUGGCUUCUCUGUUGUUCUCAUUUUCAACAUGGCGUCUUCACAAGGACAUCAUUGUGGAGAAGAAAGGCUGCCGCCCGCGCCAUUUAUGGGCGAGGCUGUCGGUCGCUCUUUCAAAUGAUUCUGUCUUUGUACGUGACAAUCAUUGCAAACACAAACUGACUACAUGUGGUCGGAGGGGCUCGCCGUUUGAAAACAGAGGAUAUUGCACUAAACUCGCAGUAAUAUCUCUCGAGUGUAAAACGCGUCCUUGACGCCGCUGCUGCGCAAAGCGCUGGAAACCCUGUAGCACAUAAACACACAGCAGUAAUCUGGGAGUCUGGACGCUUGCCACGGGUUCUGGAUAUAACUGCACUGCACCCAACCUAACCAUUUAAGGUCGGAGAGAGACUCUCAAACCCUGUGUGGCAUUUCAAUCAGCAAGUACAAAGGGAAUAUCCAGUUCUCUGUGCGCUCUCUCGUCCCCCUUUCGAGAACAUUCGGUGCAGUUUAUUCGCCAGCCAUUCAGAGGAACAUUUGACGUGAUGCAUGCAGGAUUGCGCACUACUUAGGUUCCUCAGACCUCUCCUGAAUAAACCACACUGUUGCAACACAUACCGGUAUGUGGUAUGCAGAUUGUCGUGUUUUGCACAAUUUAUGACUUUAUAAUUGUGUAUAUUUAGCGUAUUUAACAACUCUAAAAUGUGUAGAGAACGGUCAUAUUUAUAACCCAAGCAUUGUAUUUUGUAUUUUCUUAUUCUUCUUCACUUUCCCCUUGUGCGCGAAGCCAAUUUCAAUUGAUCAACCAGAGAAUGGUGUUGCGCAAGGAAACGUACCAUCUGUCUUUCUCUUUUAGAGGAGUCACGCUUGUUAUUGCAUGCACAUCAAUACGAUUCUGUCUCUCUGCCAUAGUCUAAAGUAGGACUGAUGUCCGAACAUUCCAGAAAAAAGGACUGAAGACUACAUCGUUUGCAGCCGCCCAAGGCUGAAGUGGGUCAUGAGGCCGUUUUAUGGCACUCUUGUGUUUAAUUAGGAAAAUCCUCUUUAUCUUCGAAACCUGCGAACGCAAGCUGUUUCUGACGCGAGGAUAGAAGUACAUAGAUCUCGGUCGACACCAGUCUCUGUCUGUUACCCGAUAUGCAGAAGUGUACGAAAAGCUCCAUUUGUGCUCUGGACAGCUGGAGUGGAUCCUCGACAAAUUACGACGUUCAGCUUCGCCAUUAAUCAUAUAACCUAUGUCAGCUUUUUAGUUCUUAAAAUGACAUUCUUGAAAAGUUUAUUCUUGAGGCACUCUUUCAUGUGUGAUAUUUUGAUAAUUUAAUGUGAUUUUUUUUUAUUAAGACUAGGAGACGUCUGAAAUCUAAAUUAGCCUACAAAAGGGUUUUAAUUACAGUAACGUGUGUAAAUUCUCUGUAAUAUUAUUAUUUUUUUAUACCUCAAUCUAAUAUUCCAAUUUAAAUCUGAGGAAACACUCAACCGAUCCAGACGACGGUUCGCAAUUGCAUUUCUCACCAUGGACAAUUUUUUUUUGUAACAUUUCACUUUAGCUUUUUUAUUAUUAUUUAGAAUUGAGAUAAAGAUGGAUUGUGACAUUUAAUAAUAUGGUAAGUAUAUAUAUGAUAUAUAUACAAAGAUAUGUUGCACUCAGUUAAAUGUUUUAUAUUGCAAUAAAUCUAACUUCUUAAAUUCA